GGCAGUGGUAGCUCAGUGGUUAAGAGGUUGGACUUCUGCUUGGACUGUCAUGAGUUCAAAUCCCAGCGCUGCCA